UGUGUGUGUGUAUGCAGGUGUACUGCAGGUGUGUGUGUGCAGGUGUACUGUAGGUAUGUGUGUGCAGGUGUACUGCAGGUGUGUGUAUGCAGGUGUACUGCAGGUGUGUGUGUGUGCAGGUGUACUGUAGGUAUGUGUGUGCAGGUGUACUGCAGGUGUGUGUGUGCAGGUGUACUGCAGGUGUGUGUGUGCGGUGUAUUGCAGGUGUGUGUGCAGGUGUACUGCAGGUAUGUGUGUGUGCAGGUAUACUGCAGGUGUGUGUGUGUGCAGGUAUACUGCAGGUGUGUGUGUGUGCAGGUGUAUUGCAGGUGUGUGUGUGUGUGUGUGUAUGCAGGUAUACUGUAGGUUUGUGUGUGCAGGUGUACUGCAGGUGUGUGUGUGUAUGCAGGUAUACUGUAGGUUUGUGUGUGUGUGUGGUGUACUGCAGCUGUGUGUGUGUAUGCAGGUGUACUGUAGGUUUGUGUGUGUGUGCAGGUGUAUUGCAGGUGUGUGUGUAUGCAGGUGUACUGUAGGUGUGUGUGUGUGUGCAGGUGUACUGCAGGUGUGUGUGUGUGCAGGUGUACUGUAGGUAUGUGUGUGUGUGCAGGUGUACUGCAGGUGUGUGUGUGCAGGCAUACUGCAGGUGUGUGUAUGCAGAUGUGUCUGUGCAGGUGUACUGCAGGUGUGUGUGUGUGUGCAGGUGUACUGUAGGUAUGUGUGUGCAGGUGUACUGCAGGUGUGUGUAUGCAGGUGUACUGCAGGUGUGUGCGUGCAGGUGUACUGCAGGUGUGUGUGUGGUGUACUGCAGAUGUGUGUGCAGGUGUACUGCAGGUGUGUGUGUGUGCAGGUGUACUGCAGGGGUGUGUGUAUGCAGGUGUACUGUAGGUUUGUGUGUGUGUGCAGGUGUACUGCAGGUAUGUGUUUGUGUAUGCAGGUGUACUGUAGGUAUGUGUGUGUAUGCAGGUGUACUGUAAGUAUGUGUGUGUGUGUGCAGGUGUACUGCAGAUGUUUGUGUGCAGGUGUACUGGAGGUGUGUGUGUGCGCAGAUACUUGUUUGUGUGCAGGCAUACUGCAGGUAUGUGUGUAUGUGUGCAGGUAUACUGCAGGUGUGUGUGUGCAGGUGUACUGCAGCAUGUGUGUGUGUGCAGGUAUACUGCAGGUGUGUGUAUGCAGAUGUGUGUGUGCAGGUGUACUGCAGGUGUGUGUGUGCAGAUGUGUGUGUUCGUGUGUACUACAGGUGAGUGUGUGUGUGCAGGUUUACUACAGGUAUGUGUGUGAGUGUGUUCAGGUACACUGCAGGUGAGCAUAUGUGUGUGCAGGUAUACUUCAAGGUGUGUGCAUGGG
rnacentral:lncRNA from 1 species